rnacentral:rRNA from 1 species
GAUGAACGCUGGCGGCGUGCCUAAUACAUGCCAGUCGAGCGAACAGAUGAGGAGCUUGCUCCUCUGACGUUAGCGGCGGACGGGUGAGUAACACGUGGAUAACCUACCUAUAAGACUGGGAUAACUUCGGGAAACCGGAGCUAAUACUGGAUAAUAUAUUGAACCGCAUGGUUCAAUAGUGAAAGACGGUUUUGCUGUCACUUAUAGAUGGAUCCGCGCCGCAUUAGCUAGUUGGUAAGGUAACGGCUUACCAAGGCAACGAUGCGUAGCCGACCUGAGAGGGUGAUCGGCCACACUGGAACUGAGACACGGUCCAGACUCCUACGGGAGGCAGCAGUAGGGAAUCUUCCGCAAUGGGCGAAAGCCUGACGGAGCAACGCCGCGUGAGUGAUGAAGGUCUUCGGAUCGUAAAACUCUGUUAUUAGGGAAGAACAAAUGUGUAAGUAACUAUGCACGUCUUGACGGUACCUAAUCAGAAAGCCACGGCUAACUACGUG